rnacentral:rRNA from 10 species
GACAUCAGGAGGUUAGUGCAAUGGCAUAAGCCAGCUUGACUGCGAGCGUGACGGCGCGAGCAGGUGCGAAAGCAGGUCAUAGUGAUCCGGUGGUUCUGAAUGGAAGGGCCAUCGCUCAACGGAUAAAAGGUACUCCGGGGAUAACAGGCUGAUACCGCCCAAGAGUUCAUAUCGACGGCGGUGUUUGGCACCUCGAUGUCGGCUCAUCACAUCCUGGGGCUGAAGUAGGUCCCAAGGGUAUGGCUGUUCGCCAUUUAAAGUGGUACGCGAGCUGGGUUUAGAACGUCGUGAGACAGUUCGGUCCCUAUCUGCCGUGGGCGCUGGAGAACUGAGGGGGGCUGCUCCUAGUACGAGAGGACCGGAGUGGACGCAUCACUGGUGUUCGGGUUGUCAUGCCAAUGGCACUGCCCGGUAGCUAAAUGCGGAAGAGAUAAGUGCUGAAAGCAUCUAAGCACGAAACUUGCCCCGAGAUGAGUUCUCCCUGAGACUUUAGGUCUCCUGAAGGAACGUUGAAGACGACGACGUUGAUAGGCCGGGUGUGUAAGCGCAGCGAUGCGUUGAGCUAACCGGUACUAAUGAACCGUGAGGCUUAACCUUACAACGCCGAAG